UGAGCUCUUCCGAUCUGUUGGACUUGAGAGUUCCCACAAUGGCCAGGACUGUGACAAUCUCUGGGGAUGUGACAAAGGCAUGGGUCUCGGAAUUCACAUCAUUGCAGCCUGUGAAGUUCCUAUGGUAUGAGGUGAUGAUUGCAUUCUUCUCCCCCUUAUUAAUGUCUUUUUUUGUCCCACUGGCAGAUGUAAGGGCCACAGGCCUUGGCCA